rnacentral:rRNA from 1 species
UACGUAGGGUGCAAGCGUUGUCCGGAAUUAUUGGGCGUAAAGAGCUCGUAGGUGGUCUGUUGCGUCGGCUGUGAAAACCCGAGGCUCAACCUCGGGCCUGCAGCCGAUACGGGCAGACUAGAGUUCGGCAGGGGAGACUGGAAUUCCUGGUGUAGCGGUGAAAUGCGCAGAUAUCAGGAGGAACACCGGUGGCGAAGGCGGGUCUCUGGGCCGAUACUGACGCUGAGGUGCGAAAGCGUGGGGAGCAAACAGG